UACGUAGGGGGCAAGCGUUAUCCGGAUUUAUUGGGCGUAAAGAGCGCGUAGGCGGUCUGUUAAGCGAGAUGUGAAAACUGGGGGCUCAACCCGCAGCCUGCAUCUCGAACUGGCAGACUUGAGUCUGGUAGAGGAAAGUGGAAUUCCUGGUGUAGCGGUGAAAUGCGCAGAUAUCAGGAGGAACACCAGUGGCGAAGGCGGCUUUCUGGGCCACGACUGACGCUGAGGCGCGAAAGCUAGGGGAGCGAACAGGAUUAGA
rnacentral:rRNA from 1 species